AACGCGAAGAACCUUACCUGGGUUUGACAUACACCGGAAAGCUGCAGAGAUGUAGCCCCUUUUAGUCGGUGUACAGGUGGUGCAUGGCUGUCGUCAGCUCGUGUCGUGAGAUGUUGGGUUAAGUCCCGCAACGAGCGCAACCCUCGUCCUAUGUUGCCAGCAAUUCGGUUGGGGACUCAUAGGAGACUGCCGGGGUCAACUCGGAGGAAGGUGGGGAUGACGUCAAGUCAUCAUGCCCCUUAUGUCCAGGGCUUCACGCAUGCUACAAUGGCCGGUACAAAGGGCUGCGAUCCCGCGAGGGUGAGCGAAUCCCAAAAAGCCGGUCUCAGUUCGGAUUGGGGUCUGCAACUCGACCCCAUGAAGUCGGAGUCGCUAGUAAUCGCAGAUCAGCAACGCUGCGGUGAAUACGUUCCCGGGCCUUGUACACACCG
rnacentral:rRNA from 1 species